GGGGUGAGGGGUAAGAGGAGAACCAGGAGCCACAGCCGCGGCUCACGCCCCACCGCAACAUUAAGAUUACAAGUGGACACCUGAGUCAGCAGGACCUGGAAUCCCAGAUGAGAGAGCUUAUCUACACGACUCAGAUCUUGUUGUCACCCCCAUUAUUGACAAUCCAAAGGUGCAGAAAGCACUCUGACAAAUGGGCCAAGGUUGCUCGGGUGAUUGGUUUACUGGCUUCGCACAAAACUGAUCUCCAGGAAAAUACACCUGUUGUUGAGGCCUUCCCUAACAGUCCCAGAACUCCUACAUUGCCUGGUGUGCUGACCUAAAGCCCUCAUUAAGACCAGUAACAAAUCAAGCCUAUCUUAUCAACUGACAACACAUUCUGGAACCAUGGCGUGUCCAUGGAUAAGACAUGAAGUCCUUCUUUCAAGACUUGGUUUUCUGGUACUGGAAAAUACCAAUAUGGAUAAAAGACCUUCAAAGCUGCUACGAUGGGUAAGGAACAAUGCACACAGUAUACCAUUAAGGCAAAGAAGAUAGUCUUAAUCCUGUAUGAAAUGCCAAUGAAGAUGUAAUUAAUGAAUAGACAUUUCAUUGAAAUGAAAUCAAAAGACAUUUUCCUUCUCUGACAUAACAGAGUAGAACUCUCUAGUAAGAACACAAAACUGACCAGCCUGACCAAUGUGAUAAAACCCCCUGUCUCUACUAAAAAGACAAAAAUUAGCCAUGCAUGGUAGCAGAUGCUUGUAAUCCCAGCUACUCAAGAGGCUCAGGCAUGAGAAUCUCUUGAACCCAAAAGGUGGAGGCUGCAGUGAGUCGAGAUCGCACAACUGCACUUCACCCUGGGCGACAAAGCAAGACUUUGUUUUUUAAAAAAAAGAA
rnacentral:lncRNA from 10 species